UACGGAGGAUGCAAGCGUUAUCCGGAUUUAUUGGGUUUAAAGGGUGCGCAGGCGGCUUUUAUAAGUCAGUGGUGAAAUCGGAUGGCUCAACUAUCCAACUGCCAUUGAUACUGUAGAGCUAGAGUACAGAUGGGGUAGGCGGAAUGUAGCAUGUAGCGGUGAAAUGCAUAGAUAUGCUACAGAACACCAAUCGCGAAGGCAGCUUACCAAGCUGUUACUGACGCUCAGGCACGAAAGCGUGGGUAGCGAACAGG
rnacentral:rRNA from 1 species